AGGGCAGCUACCCAGCAAUGGGAUGCGAAUCUCGAAAGCCUGUCUCAGUUCGGAUUGGAGGCUGAAACCCGCCUCCAUGAAGUUGGAUUCGCUAGUAAUCGCGCAUCAGCCAUGGCGCGGUGAAUACGUUCCCGGGCCUUGUACACACCGCCCGUCAAGCCAUGGGAGCCGGGGGGUGCCUGAAGUUCGUGACCGCAAGGAGCGACCUAGGGCAAAACUGGUGACUGGGGCUAAGUCGUAACAAGGUACC
rnacentral:rRNA from 1 species